GACGAACGCUGGCGGCGUGCUUAACACAUGCAAGUCGAACGGGCCCGCUCUCUUUUUUGGGGGUGGGUUGAGUGGCGAACGGGUGAGUAUCACGUGAGUAACCUGCCCCCUGCUCCUGGAUAACUGCUUGAAAGGGCGGCUAAUACGGGGUGUGCCGGCUGGUCCGCAUGGGCCUGGUCGGGAUAGUUUCAUCUUCGGGUGGUUCGGUGGGGGAUGGGCUCGCGGCCUAUCAGCUUGUUGGUGGGGUGAUGGCCCACCAAGGCGGUGACGGGUAGCCGGCCUGGGAGGGUGGGCGGCCACACUGGGACUGAGACACGGCCCAGACUCCUGCGGGAGGCAGCAGUGGGGGGUAUUGCACAAUGGGCGGAAGCCUGAUGCAGCGACGUCGCGUGAGGGAUGGAGGCCGUCGGGUGGUGAACCUCUUUCUCCGGUGGUGAAGGCCCUGUCCGUUGCGGCGGGGUUGACGGUAGCCGGGUAUGAAGCGCCGGCUAACUACGUG
rnacentral:rRNA from 1 species